UACAGAGGUCUCAAGCGUUAUUCGGAUUCACUGGGCGUAAAGGGUGCGCAGGCGGUUGGGUGUGUCAGAUGUGAAAAUCCCCGAGGCUCAACCUCGGAACUGCGUCUGAAACUACUCGACUAGAGUACUGGAGAGGGUAACGGAAUUCACGGUGUAGCAGUGAAAUGCGUAGAUAUCGUGAGGAACACCAGAGGCGAAGGCGGUUACCUGGACAGUUACUGACGCUCAGGCACGAAAGCAUGGGGAGCAAAAGGG
rnacentral:rRNA from 1 species